GGGUAAAGCAAAGUCUUCAAGGGAAGAUAACAAAGGAUGAAACAAUGGUGUUGUGUGACUUCCUAGUGUGAAUCAUGGCAAUACAGUGAAAGACAGUGAUUUACUGCUUUUGAGGGCGUGCAUGUAUAUGAUUAACGGAUGGAAGUGCAGGACUCCAAGAUUUACUUCCUUCCCUUUCCAGCAGAAUUACCUGAGACGAGUAAAAUCUACUGGUGGAGUCACUCCAUUAUUCUUAUCUGUGGAGAUCUAGAUCUUGAUUUGAAAGUUUCUGAGAAAAUCUUCAGCUCAGACUUGAGGGUCAACUUUACCAGCUGAAGGAUCUGCAUUUACUGCUCAACCACAUCUAAUUUGAUGUCCUCUGCAGAUUUAAAAUGUGUGCCUUCUUUUCCGUCACCAAGUCAUCCCUGGGUUACUACUGAACAUCCUUCUCAAUUCCCCCCGACCCAUGGAUGGCUGUUCUCCAUUGUCUGUUUCACCAGAUGUCCUCAAAACAAACAGACAGAAGAAGGAAGUGGCUAAUGGAGCUGUGGAGUCCAAGUGUGACUGCCAAGAGGAAUCCAGCAAAGCCAAAAAGCCCAAGCAUGUAGCCCUGCCCGAAGCACGCCACACGCAUGGAAAACCCAGAGGAAAUGAGUGAGGAUCAAUGGGAAGAAGAGAGCCAGCCAGGUUCGAUGCCUUCUCCAUCCGUCAGUGAGGGUGUGGAGAGCCUGCAGGCGUGUGCCUCCCUCUGUAACUUGCUAUUCCUUGUGUAAUGUCAAGUGGAAGUGUGAAGCACCACAAACUGCUCUGAGCAGAGCCCACUUCCCUUCACCCACGGAGAGCGUGAAGCAGUUACACCAACAUCAAUCAAGGAAAACCCACAGGCUGAGCUCACACGGUUGAAGCAGGAAGUUGAAGAUUUGUCCAGGAGCAGAUAGCUGAAGAGAGAGAGAGAGAAGAGAGAACGGCUUACAGCUCAGGUCCUCUCUCCAUGCUUAGGAACCACUACAAAUGCUACUGCCUUGAGUCUCAUUUUGUUUCCCUCUGGAAACCACAUGUGUACCUUGUUUGCAACAGUAUGGUUCUGGAGACCAGAAGGCCAAAAUCAAAAGUAUGGGCAGGCUUGAUUUCUUUAGAAGACUCCAGCGGAGAACUGUGUCUCCUUGCUUCUGAUUCUACAUCUCCAUCCAUGGGCCACUGUUUCAGCAACCUCAGCCAGUGCAACACAACCUCAGCCAAGAAGAUUUGUUAGACUUUGGAUGGUGGAGACCUGUGCCUGCUACUUCUCUCAUCUCCUGAUACCUAAUGCAUAGUGUUCAGGCACCGAGGAAGAGAACCAAUGGCAGAGGCCACAUGUGCAAGCAAGAUGGGAGUCUGGAGAGCCUCAGGCUAAAUCACGAGUGCUCAGCCCUCUCCUCUUUGUAAGGGCAACCGGGUCAUAUCUGCCAGCAUAGAACUGCUCUGUCCACAGCCCUAAAAUCUAAUACCUAGAACAAUAAAUGCACUUAAGCACGUCAA
rnacentral:lncRNA from 1 species